GCGAGUAGAGUGGCGUACGGGUGAGUAACACGUAGAUAACCUGCCCUUCAGUCUGGAACAACCUUCUGAAAAGGGGGCUAAUACCGGAUAAUAUUUAAAAACGAGUGUUUUUAGGUUAAAAGAUUUAUUGCUGAGGGAUGGGUCUGCGCACCAUUAGCUAGUUGGUGGGGUAAUGGCCUACCAAGGCUGCGAUGGUUAGCGGGUCUGAGAGGAUGGUCCGCCACACUGGAACUGAGACACGGUCCAGACUCCUACGGGAGGCAGCAGUGGGGAAUUUUGCGCAAUGGGCGUAAGCCCGACGCAGCAAUACCGCGUGAGUGAAGAAGGCCUUUGGGUCGUAAAACUCUUUUUUCAGGGAAGAUAAUGACGGUACCUGAAGAAUAAGCGCCGGCUAACUCCGUGCCAGCAGCCGCGGUAAUACGGAGGGCGCGAGCGUUGUUCGGAUUUACUGGGCGUAAAGGGCGCGUAGGCGGCAUAACAAGCUAAGGGUGAAAUCCCGGGGCUCAACUCCGGAACUGUUCUUAGAACUGUUAAGCUAGAGAUAGUUAGAGGCGGGUGGAAUUCCUGGUGUAGAGGUGAAAUUCGUAGAUAUCAGGAGGAACACCGGAGGCGAAGGCGACCCGCUGGGACUAUUCUGACGCUGAUGCGCGAAAGCGUGGGUAGCGAACGGGAUUAGAUACCCCGGUAGUCCACGCCGUAAACGAUGAAUGCCAGCUGUUUGGAAAAUCGACCUUCCAAGUGGCGCAGCUAACGCGAUGAGUAUUCCGCCUGGGGAUUACGGUCGCAAGACUAAAACUCAAAGGAAUUGACGGGGGCCCGCACAAGCGGUGGAGCAUGUGGUUUAAUUCGACGCAACGCGAAGAACCUUACCUGGGUUUGACAUCCCCUGUUCGUCACAGAGACGUGAUUUUCUCUUCGGAGACAGGGUGACAGGUGCUGCAUGGCUGUCGUCAGCUCGUGUCGUGAGAUGUUGGGUUAAGUCCCGCAACGAGCGCAACCCUUGUCCUUAGUUGCCAGCGAUUCGGUCGGGAACUCUAAGGAGACUGCCGGUGUUAAGCCGGAGGAAGGUGGGGAUGACGUCAAGUCCUCAUGGCCCUUAUAUCCAGGGCUACACACGUGCUACAAUGGUGACUACAAAGAGCUGCGAAGCUGUGAGGUGGAGCUAAUCUCAAAAAAGUCAUCUCAGUUCGGAUUGCAGUCUGCAACUCGGCUGCAUGAAGUUGGAAUCGCUAGUAAUCGUAGAUCAGCGUGCUACGGUGAAUACGUUCCCGGGCCUUGUACACACCGCCCGUCACACCAUGGGAGUUGACGUUAGCAGAAUACAUUGAGCUAACUUUCUAGAGGCAGGUGUAGAAGCUAGUGUUGAUGACUGGGGUGAAGUCGUAACAAGGUA
rnacentral:rRNA from 1 species